UAGGGAAUCUUCGGCAAUGGGGGGAACCCUGACCGAGCAACGCCGCGUGAGUGAAGAAGGUUUUCGGAUCGUAAAGCUCUGUUGUUAAGGAAGAACGAGUGUGAGAAUGGAAAGUUCAUGCUGUGACGGUACUUAACCAGAAAGGGACGGCUAACUACGUGCCAGCAGCCGCGGUAAUACGUAGGUCUCGAGCGUUGUCCGGAUUUAUUGGGCGUAAAGCGAGCGCAGGCGGUUAGAAAAGUCUGAAGUGAAAGGCAGUGGCUCAACCAUUGUAGGCUUUGGAAACUGUUUAACUUGAGUGCAGAAGGGGAGAGUGGAAUUCCAUGUGUAGCGGUGAAAUGCGUAGAUAUAUGGAGGAACACCGGUGGCGAAAGCGGCUCUCUGGUCUGUAACUGACGCUGAGGCUCGAAAGCGUGGGGAGCGAACAGG
rnacentral:rRNA from 1 species